rnacentral:lncRNA from 1 species
CUUCUCAUCAAGCCCUAUUCUCCUCAAUGGGUUUUUGUGAAAAAGAAAGCAAAUCAUGGUGUAAACUAUCUUUCUUUUUUCUCUUUCUUGUUACAAACCUCUUGCAAAGUGAGAAAGCAAGAAUCUGCUUGACAGAUGGGGCAACAUGAUUCAGCAAAUGAAGAAAAAGGCAAAGAGUUGUGGACAGAAAGGCACGGGUGUAAGAGUCCUGAAAGAAGUUGAACCAAAGGUAGCCAAGCCAAGCCAGGCCCAGUAGGCAGAAAUGGGAGUUCCCAGAAGGACAUGGGUGGCUUAUGAUGAAGACACAAGCUAUGAGACCAGCCCUCUGGCUGUUGGAGAGGAUGAUUUCCCUGACUGUUACAUAGAAUAUAGUCAGAGGGGAUUUUAUUGAAUCUAUCCUGGGAGAAGAUUCACUUUUUAAGUCCUUUGACUGCCUGGAGGAAGGAUUUUAUUUGAUAUGUCAACCUACUGGAGAUCUUCACAUGUUUUAGAGACCACAGUGGCUAUAUCAUGAAGAAUGGAUUAUAAAGACGAGAGAUUGUUACCCCAUCCAGUUAAGAGAUGGUAGUUCAGGGGGUAGAGUGGUAAUCAGAAAGGUGGGGAGAUGGGCAGAGAUCCUGGAUCUAUUGGAGGGCAUGUGGUCAGGCAGGCUGGAUGUUGGAUAUGGGGUUCAUGGAUGGUGCAGAAUUGAAGAUGAUUUUUGGAUUUAGAGCUUGAGUAGUUUUGUGGACAGUGGUGCUAUCUAUAAAGAUGGGAAAGGCUAGGGGAGGGUGAUGUGCUUCAUUUCUUAAAUUUCUCCUAUGGAAGAGUAUUUCCUAACACCCAGGACCUCCUAAGAUCUUGAGCAGUGAAUUGAGGUGGUGAAUCCUCACCAGGUUGAGCACAGAUGACGCACAGGCUGCAGGAAGAACAUUUAAAACUUGUAUUUAAGCCAAGUAAUGGCAGCCUAGGUGCCCAUCAACAGAUGAAUGAAGUACAAAUAUGUGGCAUAUAAACACAGCCAUAAAGAAGAACAGAAUUAUGUCAGGAAAGGGGCUGGGGUUGUAGCUCAGUGGUAUAGUGUUUGCCUAGCACACGUGAAGCACUGGGUUCAAUCCUUAGCAACCACAUAAAAAUAAAUAAAUAAAAUAAAGGUAGUGUGUCCACCUACAACACACAAACACACACACACACACACACAGAGAAUUAUGUCAGGGAAAUGAAUGGAACUAGAGAACAUCAUGUUAAGUGAAAUAUGCCAGACUCAGAAAUUCAAAGGUCC